GCCGUAGGUUCGAUUCCUACCAGAGGACCUUGUGCUGCAUUUUUCGCAGUCGUUCCUGGUUAGGUCUUAAAAUGUAUAUAUUCUCACUUGGAUUACAAACCCUAACAUCCUAAUAUUAAUUCCACCAAGUGAAGUGCAGAACUAAGUUAUUCAAGUGUGCAAGAUCACCUAUUAUAACCAUAAGGGGCUAAUCGAAACAGGUGAUCUGCUAAAGUAAUACAUUUAUACAACACAGAAUUACGAAAAAAGAUAGCAUUACAUCCACGGAAGAUAAACAUAGCUCAGAUCUUUAUCUAAGCAUGAGUUUGCUCCAUAUCAG